UGGGGAAUAUUGCACAAUGGGGGAAACCCUGAUGCAGCGACGCCGCGUGAGUGAAGAAGUAUUUCGGUAUGUAAAGCUCUAUCAGCAGGGAAGAAAAUGACGGUACCUGACUAAGAAGCCCCGGCUAACUACGUGCCAGCAGCCGCGGUAAUACGUAGGGGGCAAGCGUUAUCCGGAUUUACUGGGUGUAAAGGGAGCGUAGACGGUGAGACAAGUCUGAAGUGAAAUCCCGGGGCUCAACCCCGGAACUGCUUUGGAAACUGCCUGACUAGAGUGCAGGAGAGGUAAGUGGAAUUCCUAGUGUAGCGGUGAAAUGCGUAGAUAUUAGGAGGAACACCAGUGGCGAAGGCGGCUUACUGGACGGUAACUGACGUUGAGGCUCGAAAGCGUGGGGAGCAAACAGGAUUAGAUACCCUGGUAGU
rnacentral:rRNA from 1 species